rnacentral:rRNA from 1 species
GACGAACGCUGGCGGCGUGCCUAAUACAUGCAAGUUGAGCGAUGAAGAUUGGUGCUUGCCCCAAUUUGAAGAGCAGCGAACGGGUGAGUAACGCGUGGGGAAUCUGCCUUUGAGCGGGGGACAACAUUUGGAAACGAAUGCUAAUACCGCAUAACAACUUUAAACAUAAGUUUUAAGUUUGAAAGAUGCAAUUGCAUCACUCAAAGAUGAUCCCGCGUUGUAUUAGCUAGUUGGUGAGGUAAAGGCUCACCAAGGCGAUGAUACAUAGCCGACCUGAGAGGGUGAUCGGACACAUUGGGACUGAGACACGGCCCAAACUCCUACGGGAGGCAGCAGUAGGGAAUCUUCGGCAAUGGACGAAAGUCUGACCGAGCAACGCCGCGUGAGUGAAGAAGGUUUUCGGAUCGUAAAACUCUGUUGGUAGAGAAGAACGUUGGUGAGAGUGGAAAGCUCAUCAAGUGACGGUAACUACCCAGAAAGGGACGGCUAACUACGUG